rnacentral:rRNA from 1 species
CCUACGGGCGGCAGCAGUCGAGAAUCAUUCACAAUGGGGGAAACCCUGAUCGUGCGACGUCGCGUGGGGGAUUGCAGCCCUUCGGAUUGUAAACUUCUGUUAUGUGGGAGCAAAUUAAUCCGAGCGUACCCCAAGAGGAAGUGCCUGCCAACUCUGGGUCAGCCGCCCCGGUAAUAAAGGAGGCGCAAGGGGUGUUCGGAAUCACUGGGGGUAAAGGGUGCGGAGGGUGGUACGUAAAUCGCGUGUGAAAGACUCGGGGUCAAACCUCGGAGUGCACAUGAUACUGCGGGUCUAGAGUGAGCGAGGAGUAAGCGGAAUGCGUGGUGUAGCGGUGAAAUGCGUAGAUAUCGAGCAGAACACUCAUGGCGAAGGCAGGUUACCGGAGAUUAACUGACGCUGAGGCACGAAGGCCAGGGUAUCGAACGGGAUUAGAUACCCGAGUAGUC